ensembl:lncRNA
GGCUCAUCUGGGGUCCUCACAAACUGAGGAGCUGCAUGAGUGCACACGGAGGGUCUGGCACUCACAGUGCUGUAAAUUGCUUUUGUCUCCUCUUCCCUUUCAUCUUGCUGUCUUCUUCACUUCCCUCUCUGGUUUUAAAGACUUGUGAUCUAAUCUGGACCAAGUUUCACUUGUUCUUUUAUUUUCUCUCUCUUAAAGAGAAGUGUUCUGCAAACUUUCCAGUAUUUCAGUACAUUUUGUGAGAGAGUACAUUUGCAACAAGUGCAGCAUUUGUGCUGUAUCACCUCCAUAUUUCUGCACCUUCCCAAUAGCCUGCAAAGCCUCUGCCACCUUUUUCAAGCAUUGCCAAUUAAAAAAGAAAAUACUCUUUGCAGUGUAUGUGACAUUCACCUUGAUACCCCUGGCAUUCAGAGUGCCUGCUGGUUUUCAAGCUAGUGAUUAAGAACUGUCUGAAAUAGUUUUGCACAUGGUCUGUGAAUCCUCAGUCAGAGCUCUUCCGUCACCGCUGCUGUGAAGCAUUUCUCCUUGGCUUUACGGUUGUUUAACAAAUUCCUUUGCAAGAACUCUUGGUCUUGAAAAUUAAGUAAUCUCUUUCCUCUUGUAAACAUUUAUUUCCUACAAAUAAAGCGUCAGUAGCUCUAACGCCAUUUUUAGUAGAUAGAGAUCAGCCUAGGACAUGACCAAGAUGCACCAAACAACGUAGUGAUUAAGCAUUUGGUCUCUCUCCCAUCACCUCAUUUUUCAUUUCAUUCUUUGUCCAGGUGUUUUUCCCAUGCUAUUAAGUUGCUUCCUGGCAAAGCUGUUUGAUGCAUCUUUCUUCUACCUCUCAGUUUAGAACUAGUUCAGAACCUGAAAUGAAAUGGGCGCAGACGCUGCUUUCCCUUUGAUGGUAUUUCCAACCAUCUUCAAGAAAUGGAUCGAUUUGCUGCUCCUGUGAUCAGUGAGCUUAAAGCUAAGGCACGAACAUCUUCCUUCUAACAGCAGGAUUGGAUUGUUCAGAAUGAGGAGGAAGCUACAAACAAAUUAUUCAGACACUGUUACAAACAGCAGCAAUCACAGUAUACGGCCACCUGUAAGAAAGCCGUGGGCUGGAAGCUUGCAUAAAUUGUCUGGUACGGCAGACCAAGUACAGAAUGCAGAUCUCUGAUGUGGAGACAGUAGGUGAAGGCAGUAAGCGAGAAAGAAAAUCAUGUGACCUGACUUGUGUUUGCAGCCAUUUUAGACACGAUGGCAGACAACUCAUCGUGGCCCAAUUUGUUGAGCUGCUUUCCACUGCUGUAACUUCUUGAAGUAGUUUCCUCCGUUUUGAAAGAGGAGGCUCCUGGGUAGUGAGCUGAAGUGGCGGACCACCAGCUUCAGAGGAAGACACAUGAAAGAGGCAAGGACUUCACGUAUAGCCUGGCACCUUGUUAGGCUGCCCAUGCAUUGUCUCCCCAGAAGUAUACCUGCAACCACCUAAGAGCCCAAGCCUGUAAGAUCUGAAACCUUUUGCACAGUAUGUGGUUGGCUGAGGGACCAGAGAAGCCAGCUGUGCAGCUCAGUUCCUCUCUCUUCACAAGCAGAGUUUCCUAGUUGAGGUGCUUUCCUCCUCCUCUAUCUUCAGCUGCUCCAAAGGAUGCCUGGAACAAAACGGCCUUCAAAUGCUUCUCUCUGCUAACACUAGCAAGGGUGUUCUGCCAAUUCCUACCUCAGCUCCCCUUGAUCUGGGUCCUGGAAACUCAGCGAGUGCUGUGUCCUGAAGCUAGGAGCCACGGAGACAGGCAUUCUGACUGCACACUGCCUCUGUGCCUAGAUGAGCUGUCAUUGGGCACGAGAAGGAGAAAAGAGACUGCAAAAAACAAGAGGGAUAAAACGACAUCAUCCGGAGGGAAAAGGCACAUACUUUAGCAGUUAAUUUAAUGCUUAAAUGCCAAUAAAAAUUACCUGUAUGGUAAUCUGCGGAAUUCUGUUGCUGUGGGAGGGAGCGUCGUUCAUUUACUGCUGUUGAGCCUCAGGAUUGCAUCCCCAAAUAAAAGACCAGAUAAUUACCCACAUUUCCCAGCAUGAGGGUGGAAUAACCAGGUGGACCAAACUGUCAAAACAAUUAUCUACUGAACUGCAAUGACGAUGAUGAGAGAGAACUCCUUUGCUAACAACUGCCAAGAUGCAGAGCAUGCUCAGACUACACUCAAAGCCCUAUGUCAUGGAGAUCCUUGCUGUGGGUGCCAGGUUGUUAACAUAGAUUGCAGCCAAAGAAUUUUAUUGUGGAAGGUGUGUGUGGGUCAGUGCCUCUCCUGUACAAAGGACGCCACAUCUGGACCCAGUACUCCAGGUGAGGCCUUGCCAGCGCAGAGUAGAGGACAGGACCAUCUCCCUGGCCCUGCUCACCAUGCUUCUUUCGAAUGGCAUCCCGUCCCUCAAGUGUGUCAGCUGCAUUUUCAUGGAGGAUGUUUAGAGAGAAGAGAUUAUUUCAUCUGCGGGUGUCAUCUACGUAUGAAUGGAGCAUUUUUCUGCUGGUGAUGUUUUCAUAUUUCAAAUUCUGCCCUCUCACCUUUGGAGAACAAGAGCAACCUCCUUUGGAGGCCAUCAGUGGCCGGAGCUGCUCUGCUGUCACAUUUAAAGGGAGAUGCAUCCAGGCUGGACAGACUGGCUGGACUCUGAUGGAAACCAUUUCAACCCCAGCAAGAGGAUGGUUUUCGACUGGAUACAAACGCCAUGCAUAUUACAAGUAAGUUAUCCACCAGAGAUUUAAGGACUCUUUCUUUGCCAUUUAACACAUAAACUGACUGUUUGCAUAUGUAAAUAUUAUCACAUAAAGCAAACUUGCUUCUUACUGCUAAUAACUGGCAGUCGCUUCCUGCAUGAGAUUUUUUUGUUAGUUACCAUCUUCUAAAUUGGCGUGUAUGUGGUAUUACAGCACUGGUGAACACGGCUCACUCACACUGAAACAACUGCCCCUUGAGAAUUAGGCAAGUACUCAACAUGUGUCACACAGCACUCCAUCUUAAGAGUAUUUAAGUUGCUUCCCAACUAGCAUUUGUCUUAGUAUUUUUAAGGAAAUCUGCCUGGAAUAGCAAUGAGACAAUAAUAUAUAGACUGCAAGUCAAAAACAAAAAAAAAAGUGCAACUUUCUGUUCCUGCAUUACUGAUUUAGACACUCUCAUAAGCUCUACUGAUCUGGAAACAGUUCAUAAACACAAAUAUUGGUAUCAACAGCUCUGCGUUUUCAGUAUUUUCUAAGAUUGAAAUACAGUCUGCAAUAUUAAAAUACCAAUUUGAACUGCCCAACUACCAUUUAAAAUCCAGGUCAGAUUUUCUCAGUUAUAUACACAUCUUAAUUUACUCUGGGUUUUUGUCAGAAGCUGAGUGACAGAACUUAUAAUGCAGUUAUAUUAAACGGUCACCUUCAAAAGUAGAGGUUUUUUUCUACCACAUUUUUUGUAAAAUAGUUAUUCUGAAAGCUUGUGGUUUAAAAAUGCAACAUAUAGGAGAAAAAUUGAGAUAAUUUUAAUGCCUAGUUUAAAGGUUUUAUGACACAGCAGUGCUAACAUAGAUUUUAUGAUAUUUAUUUCAUACAGUUAGAAAAAAAUAAGAUGUAAGAGACAGCUGAAAUUUUUGUCCUUUAUACACGAGGGAUCCUAUAAAAUUGCCACCAUCUACUACUAGGGACAGUUAUAUCAAUCCAAAACUGUUAGAUUAAAAUAAAUAGCAAUUCCAAUCCAGAAUAGAAAACCAACCAAAAAGCACAACAUGUGGCCAUCCUGUAGAUUAUCGGAAUUAGUCCAUUCAAAUCACAGAUUUUUAAAAAGUUGCUCCCUCAAAUUUAACAUGGAAAAAGAUCCAGAAAUAAUUAUUAAGCGUGUAGGGUAACACAGGUAGGUUAAGGGGAUGAUCUGAGCCCAGUUCAUUUCAACUGAGAAUGCAUUUGAGCUGUGGAAAUUGGACUUGAGUACCAGGUGUGUUAAGAGUUAGUGGCAGCUGUUAUCUGACUUGUGUGCAUACAAUUAUUAGCAUGGGGGACAAAAAUCUGAAAUACAGAAAUUACCUAAACAGUGGAAUAUCAGAGCAAACUCUACUGAACACAGCAAAAAAACUAAGCGAUGCAUUGCACCAAUCCUCAAUGAGAGGAUCUCUCUCCUUGAGAACUAACGUUCAGCAUUGCCGUUCACAUCAAGUUUUACAUCUCAAUCUCUUCUGCCUUGUUGGGAUCAGCCACAUCAUUUUGGCACUCUGAAUACAUACAAAUAAAAAAUCAAUUGUUUGGACUGCUUUUACUUUGUAGAGCAUCUGCUAUUUUUCUGUAUAUUUGUAUAUUAGGAUCAAGUUGGUCCUAAUGAGUAAGAGGGUUUCUAGCCUGUCCCUGCAAUGUUAAAUAUAAAUAAGCAGCCAUUCCAAACGUUACAAAACAGAACAUCUUUCUCUAUUCCGUGUAAUAGAACCAAUUUGCUGCAGUAGUGUCAUUAAACGCCAAAUGCAGCUAGCAUGAAAAAUUGGAGCAGCUUGGCCAUUUUUCUCUGGUCCUGUCAUCUGAACAUGACUGCCUGCAACAAGGAGUACCAUCAUCCAUAUGCCUUCUGUCAGCCUCCAUGACAAAUGCAACACAGUCUUUGUGCUUCCAGCAAAUAUAUAGAGAAAAAGAUAGACAAAGCCUCAGUUGGUUCUGAUUUUUGGAGAGAAGGCAUUACAUAGACAAAGUAAAAAUGUAUCAUCUGCACAAUGAUCAGCAUAUUCAAUCAUUCCAGCUGGGAGCUAUUUUUCAGGAAAAGGUAAGAAUUUUGUUUCAAUUCUACACAUUUUGAAGCCAAGUAAAAAGUAUUUUUGACUGAUUGGGGCUCAGUGAUCCUGUGACCUCCACCACACACAGCGUGACCACUCAAUCCAGGCACACACAUGCUCUCAGACCCAUGGAUUCAUAGAUCAUAUACUCAGCUUCCCCCCUGGCAAAGAAAAUGAACUGAAGACCACAUACAAUAAACUAGCAUCUGUGCACAAAAAAAACCACACAGAACAAGAUGAUCGUGGAUGCAUAGAUCAUGGAUUCAGCUACCUACAUUGCAAUGACAGUAAAUCAAAAACCACAGCCUAUGAACUAAGAUCAGUGCAAAAAAAGGAAAAAAAAAACAAGAAAAACAAAAAACUCAAGAUGAUCAUGGAUUCAUAGAUAGUGGAUUCACCUACCUACAUUACAAUAACCCAAAGACCACAACCAAUACACUACGAUCUGUGCUAAAAAAAACCCAAGAUGCUCAUGGAUGAUUAUGAUUCAUAGAUCAUAAAUUCAGCGAUCUACAUUGCAAUGACACUAAAUCAAAGAACACAACCAAAACACUAAAAUCUCUGCAAGAAAACCAAGAUGAUCUAGGAACUAUAGAUAAAAAAUUCACCUUUCUACAUUGCAGUGACAAUAAACCAAAGAUCACAACUAAUAAACUAAGAUCUCUGGAAAAAAAAAAAAAAAAAAAAAAAGAUUAUCAUGGAUUCAACUAUCUAUAUUGCAAUGAUAAUAAAGCAAAGUCCAUAUCUAAUAAAUUAUAACCUGUGCAAGAAAAAUGAAGAUGAUCAUGGAUCCAUAGAUUCAGCAUCAUACAUUACAAUGACACUAAGUCAAAGACCAUGACCAAUAAACUAAGAUCUGUGCUAAAAAGAAUAACAAGAUGAUCAUAAAUUCAUAGAUCAUAGAUUCAGCUGCAUACGUACCAAUAAUAAUAACCUGAAGACCACAGCUAAGAAACUAACAUCUGUGAUAAAAAUAACCCUAGGUGAUCACGGAUCCAUAGAUUCAACUUUCUACAUUGCAGUGACAAUAAACCAAAGACCACAAACAGUAUACUAACAUCUCCACAACAAAACCCGAGAUGAGCAUGGAUUCAUAGAUUAUGGAUUCAGCUUCCUUCACUACAGUGACAUUAAAUCAAAAACCACAACCAAUUAUGUAAAAUCUGUGAAAAAACAGACAAAACAAACAAACAAACAAACAAAAGAAAACAAAAUAUCUAGAUGAUCAUGGAUCCAUAGAUUCAACCUCCAAAUUGCAUUGACAAUAAACCAAAGAUCACAACUAAUAAACUAAGAUCUCUGCAAAGAAAAUAACAAGAUGAUCAUAGAUCAUGGAUUCAGCUACCUACAUUGCAAUGAUAAUAAACCAAAGAUCAUAUCCAGUAAAUUAUGAUAUGUGCAAAAAAACCCAAGAUGAUUAUGGAUCCAUAGAUCGUAGACUCAGCUUCCUACAUUGCAAUGACAAUAAUCGAAAGACCACAACUAACUAAGAUCUCUGCUAAAAAAAACCCAAGAUGAUCAUGGAUCCACAGAUCAUAGAUUCAACUCCUACAUUACAAUGAUAAUAAACCAAAGACCACAACCAAUAAACUAAGAUCAGUGCUAAAAACAUAACAAGAUGAUCAUAAAUUCAUAGAUCAUAACUCCAGCUACCUACAUAGCAACAAUAAUAAACCAAAGAAUGCAACAAAUAAACUAAGAUCUGUGCUAAAAAAAAUAACAAGAUGAUCAUGGAUUCAGCUAUCUACAUUGCAAUGACAAUAAACCAAAGACCAGAACUAAUAAACUAAGAUCUCUGCUAAAAAAACCCAAGAUGAUUAUGUAUCCAUAGAUUGUAGACUCAGCAUCCUACAUUACAAUGACAAUAAUCAAAAGACCACAACUAAUAAAGGCCUUUGCUAGAAAAAUAGCACAAUGAUCAUGAAUUCAUAGAUCAUGGAUUCAGCUUCCUACACUGCAGUGACAAUAAACCAAAAGCCACAACCAAAGAACUAAUACAUGUGCAAAAAAAAAAAAAAACAAAAAAAAAAAAACAAGAUGAUCAUGGAUCCAUAGAUCAUAGAUUCAGCUACCUACAUUGCAAUGACAGUAAAUUCCUACAUUACAGUGAUAAUAAACCAAAGACCACAACUGAUAAACUAAGAUCUCUGAAGAAAAAAACAACAACAACAACAAAAAAACAAAACACCAAGAUGAUGAUGAAUUCAUAGAUCACAGAUUCAGCUAUCCACACUGCAAUGAUAAUAAACCAAGGACAACAACUAACAAACUAAGACCUGUGCUAAAAAAAAUAGCACGAUGAUCAUGAAUUCAUAGAUCAUGGAUUUCGUUUCCUACAUUGUAGUGACAAUAAACCAAAAACCACAACCAAUAAACUAAGAUCUGGGCUAAAAAUAUAAGAAGAUGAUCAUGAAUUCAUAAAUCACAGAUUCAGCAUCCAACAUUACAAUGACAAUAAACCAAAGACCACAAGUAAUAAAUUAAGAUAUCUGAAAAAAAAUAAAAAUAAAAAUAAAAAACCACCCAAAACAAAACAAAAAACAAGAUGAUCAUGGAUUCAGCUAUCUACACUGCAAUGAUAAUAAACCAAAGUCCAUGUCCAAAAAAUUAUGAUCUGUGCAAGAAAAACCAAUAUGAUCAUGAAUCCACAGAUCAUAGAUUCAGCUACCUACAUUACAAAGACACUAAAUCCAAGACCACAACCAGUAAACUAAGAUGUCCAAACAAACAACAACCAGAACAAAAAAAAAACAGAUGAUCACAGAUCCAUAGAUAAUAGAUUCAGCUUCCUAUAUUACAGUGAUAAUAAACCAAAGCGCACAACUGAUGAACUAAGAUCUGUGCAAAAAAAAAACCUCAAGAUGAUGAUGGAUUCAUAGAUCAUGGAUUCAGCAUCCUAUAUUGCAAUAAAUCAAAGACCACAACUAAUAAACUAAAAUCUGUGCAAAAAAAAUAACAAGAUGUUCAUGAAUUCAUAGAUCACAGGCUCAGCUUACUACAUUGCAAUGACAAUAAACCAAAAACCACAACCAAUAAUCUAAUUCCUGUGCAAAAAACCCAAGAUGAUCAUGGAUCCAUAGAUCAAAAAUUCAGCAUCCGACAUUACAAUAACAAUAAACCAAAGACCACAACUAACAAACUAAGAUCUCUGCAAAAAAAAACAAACAAAAAAAACCCAUGAUGAUCAUGGAUUCAGCUAUCUACAUUGCAAUGAUAAUAAACCAAAGUCCAUAUCCAAUAAAUUAUGAUCUGUGCAAGAAAAACCAUGAUGAUCAUGGAUCCAUAGAUCAUAGUUUAAGCUUCCUACAUUACAGUGAUAAUAAACCAAAGCAUGCAACUGAUGAACUAAGAUCUGUGCAAAAAACCCCCAUGAAGAUAAUGGAUUCGUAUAUCAUGGAUUCAGCAUUCUACAUUGCAGUGACAAUAAACCAAAGACUACAAACAAUAUUCUAACAUCUUUGCCAAAAAACAAAACAAAACAAAAAAAACCACCCAAGAUGAUCACAGAUUCAACUUCCUACAUUGCAAUCACAGUAAACCGAAGACCACAACUAAUGAGCUGAGAUCUCUGCAAAAAAAAGAAAACAAGAUGAUCAUGGAUUCAUAGAUCAUAGGUUAUGGUACCUACAUUGCAAUGACAAUAAACCAAUGACCGCAUCCAAUUAACUCAGUUCUGUGCAAAACAAACAAACAAACAAAAAAACAUGAUCAGGGAUUCAUAUGUCGUUGAUUCAGCUGCCUACUUUGCAAUGGUAAUAAACCAAAGGACCACAACCAGUAACUAAGAUUGUGUCAAAAAAGAAAACAAACAAACAAAAACAAAAACACGUGAUGGUCACGGAAUCAUAGAUUCAGCUCAUUACAUUGCAAUGACAAUGAAUGAAAGAGAAUAUCCAGUAAACUGAGAUCUGUGCUCUUUAUGAUUCCUCCAUUCCCAUUUCACUUGCCUUAUUCUGCAAGAUCAGGCUUUGACAGAAACUGAGAGAAACAGAGAAACAAGCUGAUUCAUAGAAAAAUAUUGUCUAACAGUAAAUAUAGCAGAGAAAAUUAAUAAUUUCAGGCUCAUCCUAAAAAGAAAGGUAGAAUUACUGAGAUCUCUUGCUAUUUGGAGGGAAAAAAAACACCUCCAAAAGGAAGCAAUGUCCCUCUAGAUGUCUUACUGCCUUGUCUUACAGCAUCAUCCCUAAAGUCCACGGAUUGAUGCAUUUACACGUCUGGUUGAUCUGAGGGAGUCUAGAUGGCUAGAAGUUUAUGCUUUUAGGCAACUAAAUCUAAAAGAUAUUAAUGCUAGUAAAAUAAUUAACCUUUUAACUGAUACUUCAUGUUCAUCACUCAAGGACUUCCUCUUCUAUCUUCUUUAAAUUUUUUUAAAGUAAUCUACAACUAUUAAUAUUCAAAGAAUAUUUCACAACUGUUAGAACAACACCAAAGUAGGAGGUUCUAGUGAUUGUCUUAUUAAAGGGAAUAUUUUUGAAAAACUCCUCUAGAAUCCAUAUGCACAGUAACCACUAUUUGCAAGAGAAAAUAGUUGCCCAUGUGUGCAAUUGUUUCUGAUGAAUAAAGAAAUAGACAUCUGCAUAGACAAAUGGACGCACAUGCCAAUUUCCUCCCACGCUUUAAAGAUAGAGGAUUUAUCCAAAAACCACAAGAGGUUUUUGGAGUUAUUUCCAUUCCUUUCAGGGAUUUUGCCCACAGAUGUUAUUUCCAAUCUUACUCCAUUGCACUUAUUUAGACUUACAGCAUAGCAAACCUGGUAUUAAAUCAAAUCAAGCUCAAAUACUCUAAGCAGGGAUAAUCUCAAGAGGAAAGCUUGAUAGUCACUAAGCAAGCAAGCACAAAUCAUUAGCUAUCUUCUCCUCCAGUGGAUAUUUCCAAGCAAAAGUCAGUCUCACACACGGAUGCACAGGGCACUGCAAGCAGCCCACCUACAUGUACCACAUUCACAUCAGCGGUCAGAUUUUGGGCAGAACAAAUACAGCCAAGCAGGCAGCAGUAACCUCUGAAACUGCUCAUGUGCACAGGAAUGGAUUUUCCUCUAGAAAACCUCAAGUUUCCAUUUCAUAUUGGCUUAAGUCAUCGUAGUUUAGUAAGGUGAGCUGUUCUUCUAGGUUUGUUGAUUAAGGUUUGAGCAUGUGCAAUUUGCAUCUGAUUAUGUGCAAUAUGGGAGGGUCCAAAAGGGAUAGUUUAUAAAGGAGAUAAAUUCAUAUAGAUUAGCCAAGUACCUACUAAGGGUGAAUACAGCCAUCUGUGAAUAUGGACAGUUAAGUAGCAAAGAAAGUAUAACUGCAAAUAAACAAAAACAAAGGAAGAUAAAAACCAAGAACACAUGAUGGUUAGCAGCACAGCCAGUUAAAGAGGCAGAAUCCCUGUAGGAAGUUCUGUACCAUCACUAGACCAACAGAUACUCAUCUACAGUCAGUCAAAAUCUACAAUCUCAAACAUUGUUGAUCAAGUAUCCGAUGAUAGCUAAAAGGUUCAAUUAACAAUCUUAGUGGGUGUAUGUUUCUAAUUUAACAGUUACAGUUUAAGACAAACAUCUACAAAUGUCUGCUCUUCUUAUCUAUUAGAAAGUCAUAUCUGGUCAAAGUCAAAAAUAGUUGAUAAUUCACCAAAAUAGACAUUGCUACAUUUGAAACAUCAUUUUAUGCUGACAACAUGCUGAAAAUGCCAACUCUUCUUCAUCUCUCUCUUGGAUUUGAUUUCUGUCCCCACCCCCUCCCUUUCUAUUUAUGAGCACUUAUUUAUGCAAAUGUGUAUACAGUACAUAUGUACCUUGUGCAAGGAUUACAUGGUGUACCUCUUCCUUGAGUUUGCAAACAGAUUUGAUUCAUUCAGUAUAGUUAAACUAUUGACACAGAUUCCAAGUUGCCUUCCAAUUCUAACAAUUUAAGAGGAGGAAAUAUUCCAUUGCUUCUACUUAGAAUACAACAUCAGAAAGAAAGAUUAAGCAAAAGUUUUCUAAUAUUUCCAAUGACACUUAAGUUCUGUGGUGGUUCCCUCCUCCCUUAGCACGUCUCACUGAAGUGCUUUAUAGCCAGAUGCUGUGCCAUAGGCUGGUCCACAGCUCAUCACUCCUCUGAUGCUUUUUGCCUCAUCCCAUCAGCCACAGCUGAUUAUUUCCACUGAGCUCAGCUUUACCGUAGUUUCCAAUGCUCUCAAGAUACCUCCAAAACACUGCAUCUUUCACAUUCAUACAUACUCACUUUUAAUUACAGAUAGGCUUAGAUCAGAAGCUCGUUUUAAUCAGUAGAUACUACUGGGAAGAAUUUUGUCUUACUUUAGACAAAUUAAGGUGUCUAAUAACACAGUGAUAAAGCAAGAUCUAGGAUCCAGUUUUGGUCAAGAAGCACCAAAACAAUCCAGCAUACAGACAACUUGAGCUUGCACUCAAACUUUUCCAUGUAUUGCAGUAAGUGCUCAGCUUGUGCAAGGAGACUGUCACAGCAUCUCUCAACAAAAGAUACCUGCUUGCUUGUUUUUUCCUUUUAACAGAAAUUAAAAUUGUAUCCUUUCAAGGAUUUAUCACAAUUAUUGCACAUACUUUUCCCCAGACUACAGAAGAUAUUGCACAGAGAUCACCUUUGGAGUAUCUAAAUUCUAUCAGUGUUCCUUUCAAAAUUUGUCUAAAAAGGUAAAAAGAAAAAGAAAAGAUAGCUCCACUGCUCAUCAGUUUUACACUUCUGGAUAAAAGUAAGUUUGAAAGAAUAGGAAAGGGCUAAGAACAGAAAGAAAUACCAAGAAAAAUGAACAAUGCAUAUUUCUCCGCAGUUUAUUCUAUGAAGAUUUUGGUAGUGAGUUAGUAAAUGUAUAUGUUGGGAGUAAGCAGCAUAACAAGUCUUUUGGAAAAGCAGUACUUUACCCAUGUGAUUUUUUGACUUAGUAAUGUAGGGCUGGGUGUGAGAAUUAAUUUGUAUUAAAAAUAUGUCCAUGCUUUUAUUACACACUCUUAAAGUAUCAAAUUUAUAAGAGAAAUAACUGAAUAAUCCUAGUUACAACUUGGCUUCAACUUGGUUGAACUGCUAAAUUCUGAAGUGGUUAUUGCCUUGUAUAUAUUGAAAAAUAAACAAUAAGAUCUUAAUCACUUCUUGUAAUCUUUUGCUUUCAUAGGCAGCAAAUACCAUAACCUGUACCACUAUAUGAUUUAUGCCUUAUCUCCUACUCAGAGUUAUUAGAUUUCCUCUCAGAGAACAGUGUUUGUUUUCUUUCUUCUCUUUUUUUUUUUCUAAGUAUGCAUGAAAAUACAGUGGAAUAUCAAAAAGAAUUGAGGGUUUUGUGUAAUGCUUUUGGAAAACUUGUGGUUACUUUAAAUAGUUCCCUUAUUCUCAUAAAAUCAUAAUCAUUCCCAUUUUCAGUUCAAAUUAAGUGGAAAAUGUCAAGUCUCAUUUUCAUUGAAAUUUCCUACUUUAAUGUGAAUGUGACCAAAACCGGCUUCGAGCAUAGAUAACUGCUUCAACUAGAAAACCUUUCAAGGACAAUAGCUACGUCUUUACUGUAGGCAGAGGCUACAGCAUUGCCGUUAUUCAGUUAUCAGCAUAUGUAGAAGUAAUGAAUAUAUAGGAGAAAAGUUCCUGGCUCAAAUUGAGUUCUGGAAAGCAUGAUUUUACUCUGCCUUUUGGCUGAUAACAUCCAACUUUUGUUUUUGCUUGCCUGUUAUUUUGAUCUUACCCAAUAAAUUCCCAGAUUAGAAUUGUACUGAGCAAUUUACUGAGAAAACUUUCAAAACCACUUACUCUGACCUUGCCAGUUUACAUGCAUAAAAACUGUAGCAAUUAAUGUAAAAUUUAAAUUUUUAUAUCCUCCCUUAUUGUUCUCCCCCGCCCCCAGUACUCUUAGUGGUGCUAGUUAUUUUUCACUUGUCUCAGAAGUUUGUCUCCAAUUCUUGCAGACCAGUGUGAAAUAACUGUAUGAGCUGACGCUGUACAGCUGAUGUAACAAUCAGAAUGACCAUUUCAGUCUGAGUUUAAGGGAAGACGACUGUGAAGAACACUUUGGAAAAUGCCCAUAUGAAGAUACUACUAAAGAGCAGUCAGCCAGGAACAGAAGAUGACUUAAGGCAGGAGAACUCGUGACCCACCAGGAAUGCUACCUUACUUCCAGCUGUGGAGCUGUGACCCCUCAGGAGCUGAACCAUUUAAGAAGUGCCCAGCUAUCACAGAAUCUGUCAUCUGAAUGCUGCACCCUGUCUUCAGAAGAGCUCUUUCAUUCACAAAGACACUAGCAGGGAGUCCAAGUGCCAUCUAUUUCUCUCUGUUAUCUCUUACAUGGCGGUUCCAUCUCUUCCAGUUAAUAAGGUUAAAACAGAGACUGACAGUAAAGUAACACUGAAUUAUUAAAAGUGAAACUUCAGUUAUUGUUAUUCCAGAGCUUCUGCUAAAUGUGCCAUCUUCUCCUCUAGACUUCAUUUCAGGGGAAAGACUCGACAUGCUUGGAGAAUAGCAUCACUGCACUCCCACUGCACAUCCCUGUCCAAACCUUCUCAUCCAACAAAAUGAAUACAAAUACUCAUGAAAGAGGCCAUAAUAAUUUCGAUAAAGAAAUAGAGAAUUAGCAGUAAAUGACAGUCAGCGAUGCACAGCACAGGGAGUGCUAAUAUAUUUUAUUAAAAAUAUUAUUAGCACGCUACUUUAGGGUUAAAAGGUGUCUCUCAGUAGAUUUCAAAUGCUCCUACCCCUCUCGGAUUUCCUUGAGCUCAAAACUUCCCAUAUCUCACUCAUUUCCCCUCUCAGUAGUUUUCCUGCCUGUUCGUACUUCCUGCAAGAAGGUCCUCAGGGCUCCCCUUCCAACAUGGCCAUUUCUGUCUGUGGCAGGUUUUCAGAAGAACAGUGUUUGUGGUCUGUUCAUGUAACAAUCCAUACAUCUAUGCAAAAAUAAGUCCCCCAUAACAGCAACACCACAUGUCUGGGAAAUGUGGAAUACCUAUCUGUCGGUACAUCCCAUCUCCUCACUUGCCCAGGCUGCCUUUAGGGUCUUCUUAACCCUGCCCUCUUUAGCAGGCCCUCAGGUAAAUGAGACACUUGAAGGGAUGGUGUUACAGAAGCAGUAAACAAAGUUUUUCAUUACUUCAACCAUAAAGAUAUAUGAAACUCUUAAAAACCAACGCAUGGAUUUGGAAUUAAUAACUAAGUUUAUGAUCAACUCUGAGUGGUCCGACUCUCUUCAAAGUAUCAAUAAACUCCUGCCAGUUUUAAAUUCUGUAUGUCUAAGUAAAACAUAUACUUUUCCUAUAGCUUUCAGCUGGGAGUGGGGAGUCUAUACCAUCAUAAGGGGCUUGUUUGCUCUUCUGAAGAGCCAAAAGAAAACUGGUUUGCUGGUUUUUAAACAACCCGAUGGUUCCUUCCCAAAUACACAGAACAGAAUUUUCUGCAGGAUGCCUCUGCUCAAUCCUAUAGAGCAAAAGGAAUUAAAAUGUAUGAGGCUAAAAGUGGAGAUUAACCAUAAUCUAAACAGAGCUCAAAUUAAAUGAUUCUCUUGUUUUUUAUUGUUAAUAAAGGCAGGGUGGAAUGCCAGAGCCAUGGCGGGUACUACUGGGAGAUCAUUAUAAAGAAUAUGCAAAGAGGUAUUCGAGGUAACAUACUUUAGGCCCAUGAAUGUGGAAGGAUCGAUAGUACUGGAUAUGCAGAUGUUUUAAGGGACAGAAAAUGAAAACAAUGGCACCUUAUUUUUGUUGUUAAAUACAAAAUUCUCAUUUCCAGAUCAUUUCUUCCUACUGGAAGGAAAACACAACACCAAUCCAGAUUUCUGACUUAAAAAAAAAAAGAAAGAAAGAAAAAAAGAUCUGAUAAAACCAUUUUUUUUAAUUUCACACUUAAACCUUCCUAUAAAGUAUGGGCAAAUACUGUCAGUUAAGUGUCCCUUCAUCAAAAAACAAACACACUGCUGAGACUGAUGUAACAGUUCUUACCAUCUAUUUGGUAUUCACAUGCAAAAAAAUAAAAAAUAAAAAGAAUCAGACAUCAAAUCCUCUGCUGUGACCCACAGCUCACAGCCAUGUUUUCCCCCUUCUGUCCAACACAAACCAUGUAAUACUCAUCACCAUUGUGAACUACUACGGCAGAUCUGCGAAACGCCAAAGUUAGGCUGACUGGAAAUUCUACUAGUACACAAAAUACCUUUACAAUAUAUUACACCUUCCUACUUUGAUUAAACUUAUUACUUCAUAUUUCAAGCAGAGGUAAAUAUUCCCCUAGUGGGAAAAUAUUGUCUAUUUGUAUAAGACUUAAUGACAUAAAGUAAAUUGCGCUGUUGGUUUGAGUUAGACAUGCAAUACACUUCAGUAAUGUGCUAUUUCCUUCUGUAUAUGAUGCAAUUCUAAGGAAAACAUGAUUAAAAAAAAUUGCUUGAGAUUUCCGUUUAUUGCUUUAAAGGUUAUUACUAACAUCAGCAUUCUACUAUUUUUCCCCUCAUCAAUUUCCAUUAUCAUUUUGAUUCAGAGUAAUUCUCUCCUUGUAGGUUUGCCCAACAGAUUUUAAGUGAAUAUAGUACUCUGAUUAAAAAGAAAGCAGAAUAAAAUAGAGGCCUGCUGAUUCAAAACAUUAUGAAAGAUAGUUCAGUUAACGUGAGCCUUGUUUCACAUUUUCAUUGAAAGACAUUUUCCUCUGAAACCUCUACAUGCAGUCCUCUCCUGUCGUUACCAUAAGUUAACUUCUCCCAGCAAUUAUUCCUGUCUAUUCGAAACUAUACAGUGAGAUGCAACCCAUGCUUUCCUUUCCAAUGCUCAUUUUCCAACAUAGCAAAGAAUGUUUGCCUUUCUAACAAAAGAAUAUUAGAUAUACGAAUGCCAAGCAAAGUGCAGUACAGGAGAAACACAGAAAUUAGAGCUGCUUGUGAUUAGUGGGUAAUUCAGACUUCCAAAACACCUGCUGAAGUCAGAGUGGCUGUCCCACGUGUGUUGUACCACUUGUUCACCUAAAACUGGUUCCUGUGCAAAGCAACUGAAUGAACUGAGGGCCCUCUGAUGAGAAACUAUUUUCUACAAAGACAAAAUAUUCUAUGAUGCUUUUAAAACAAGGCCAGUAAGAAUAGCUCUUUACACUUACUUCCAUUUUUCCUUACAUACUAAUUACUAUUCCAGACAAGAUUUUAGGAUAACAAUAUUUUAAGCAGAGAUGUCUCAUUUUUCACUUGCUGAGUCUUGCCUAGCAGAUUUUCACCGAGUUUAGUCUGACUAGAAUUAAUUUCUUAUUCUAGCUGCUUAUUCAUGCAGUUUUUACUCCUUUCUGCUCGGCUGCCUUGAGUAAGGAACUCCAACAGUACUGAAUGUCUGAAUGUACAGCAAAAUAAAGGUGUACUGUCGCCAUAUCGCUGUAUAUUGCUCAUUACAUGAUGGACUAACAACACAAAGCAUCUACUGCAGAUACUCGAAGCAUA